rnacentral:rRNA from 1 species
UACAUGGUGUCCAUUUAACUUGGAACCCAAACUUCUCAAUUCUAACUUUGUGCAUCUGUAUUAAUGGCGAGCAACUCCGGUUGUGAGCCUUCACUUACAAAACACUAGUCUAUGAAUGUAAAAUUUUUAUAACAAAUAAAAACUUUCAACAACGGAUCUCUUGGCUCUCGCAUCGAUGAAGAACGCAGCGAAAUGCGAUACGUAAUGUGAAUUGCAGAAUUCAGUGAAUCAUCGAAUCUUUGAACGCAUCUUGCGCUCUCUGGUAUUCCGGAGAGCAUGUCUGUUUGAGUGUCAUGAAUUCUUCAACCCAAUCUUUUCUUGUAAUCGAUUGGUGUUUGGAUUCUGAGCGUUGCUGGCUUUAUUGCUCAGCUCGUUCGUAAUACAUUAGCAUCCCUAAUACAAGUUUGGAUUGACUUGGCGUAAUAGACUAUUCGCUAAGGAUUCGGUGGAAACAUCGAGCCAACUUCAUUAAGGAAGCUCCUAAUUUAAAAGUCUACCUUUUGAUUAGAUCUCAAAUCAGGCAGGAUUACCCGCUGAACUUAAGCAUAUCAAAGCGGGAA